rnacentral:sRNA from 1 species
GCGAUGAGCUCGUUUGCGUAAGACGACCAGCAAUCCUUCGUUGGAACACGUUGUGGAGCGUGGCUAGGCCGCCGCAAAUUUAUCGAGACCACUUUGCCUUCGGGCAAAGUGG